rnacentral:rRNA from 1 species
CACGUAGGGUGCGAGCGUUGUCCGGAAUUAUUGGGCGUAAAGAGCUCGUAGGCGGUGUGUCGCGUCGGCCGUGAAAACCUGCAGCUUAACUGUGGGCGUGCGGUCGAUACUGGCAUCACUGGAGUUCGGCAGGGGAGACUGGAAUUCCUGGUGUAGCGGUGGGAUGCGCAGAUAUCAGGAGGAACACCGGUGGCGAAGGCGGGUCUCUGGGCAGUAACUGACGCUGAGGAGCGAAAGCGUGGGGAGCGAACAGG